AUAGAAAUCCUACCCAACCUCAAACUGCCACCUUCUGAAACCCUCUUGUGCUAAAAACUAGAUAUCUCUAAACCACGCCAUUAGAAUAUCACAAAAUUUUGUAUACACUUAGUACACUCAAUAAUCCAAAAAAUAUCAAAUUUUCAACUAUAGAUGUCAUGCCAAUUGCACGAACUAGCCAAAAUUGCUAGCCCUAAUUAUAUUAUAUAAAAUCCAAAUCAUUGAUACAAACCCUGACUUUGAACAACAAUUGCUAAAUCCUCCAAAAUCCUCUCAAAACAAUUCUUAUGUCUCUGGAAUGAACUUCAAGCUAGCUCUCAAAUCCUAAUCUCUGAUCUUCAAAUGAAACCUUAUUUUUCCCUAAGCCGUCGUUUUAGUAGCUAGAGAUCUGAUCUCAACCCUGUCUUACAAAUGGUCGACCCUCGGAUAUCAAUCUAUCCUAUCCUAAGGAUUUUUUAGUCCAAUCCUAUUUUCAACUUAACCCUAGUACCAACUAUAUUAAUUAUUUACUACUUUUAACCUGAUUUCAUCAAUUUAUGGUCUUUCUAAGGUAGUAGAAGAGUCUCUACAACCUAGAAGGUAAAAUUACUAACUAACCU
rnacentral:lncRNA from 1 species